rnacentral:rRNA from 1 species
GAUUCGUCACACUAUCAUUAACUGAAUCCAUAGGUUAAUGAGGCGAACCGGGGGAACUGAAACAUCUAAGUACCCCGAGGAAAAGAAAUCAACCGAGAUUCCCCCAGUAGCGGCGAGCGAACGGGGAGGAGCCCAGAGCCUGAAUCAGCAUGUGUGUUAGUGGAAGCGUCUGGAAAGGCGCGCGAUACAGGGUGACAGCCCCGUACACAAAAGCGCAUGUGCUGUGAGCUCGAUGAGUAGGGCGGGACACGUGGUAUCCUGUCUGAAUAUGGGGGGACCAUCCUCCAAGGCUAAAUACUCCUGACUGACCGAUAGUGAACCAGUACCGUGAGGGAAA